rnacentral:rRNA from 1 species
ACGGAGGGUGCAAGCGUUAAUCGGAAUUACUGGGCGUAAAGCGCACGUAGGCUGUAGUGUAAGUCAGGGGUGAAAUCCCACGGCUCAACCGUGGAACUGCCUUUGAUACUGCACAACUUGAAUCCGUGAGAGGGUGGCGGAAUUCCAGGUGUAGGAGUGAAAUCGUAAAAUAUCGGGAGGACCAUCGGUGGCGAGGCGGCCAACCUGAACGGAUAUUGACGCUGAGUUUCGAAGACUUGGGAGCAAACAG